rnacentral:rRNA from 1 species
UAAUACGUAGGGGGCAAGCGUUGUCCGGAAUCACUGGGCGUAAAGCGUGCGUAGGCGGUUGCGUGUGUCCGGGGUGAAAGUCCAGGGCUCAACCCUGGGAAUGCCUUGGAAACUGCGUAACUUGAGUGCUGGAGAGGCAAGGGGAAUUCCGCGUGUAGCGGUGGAAUGCGUAGAUAUGCGGAGGAAUACCAGUGGCGAAGGCGCCUUGCUGGACAGUGACUGACGCUGAGGCACGAAAGCGUGGGGAGCAAACAGGAUUAGAUACCCUGGUAGUCCACGCCGUAAACGAUGAGUGCUAGGUGUUGGGGGGUACCACCCUCAGUGCCGAAGGAAACCCAAUAAGCACUCCGCCUGGGGAGUACGGUCGCAAGACUGAA